rnacentral:rRNA from 1 species
CCUACGGGUGGCAGCAGUGAGGAAUAUUGGUCAAUGGGCGGGAGCCUGAACCAGCCAAGUCGCGUGAGGGAUGACGGCCCUAUGGGUUGUAAACCUCUUUUGCCGGGGAGCAAAGUGCCGCACGUGUGCGGUUUGGCGAGUACCCGGAAAAAAAGCAUCGGCUAACUCCGUGCCAGCAGCCGCGGUAAUACGGAGGAUGCGAGCGUUAUCCGGAUUUAUUGGGUUUAAAGGGAGCGUAGAUGGGUUGUUAAGUCAGUUGUGAAAGUUUGCGGCUCAACCGUAAAAUUGCAAUUGAUACUGGCAGUCUUGAGUACAGUUGAGGUAGGCGGAAUUCGUGGUGUAGCGGUGAAAUGCUUAGAUAUCACGAAGAACCCCGAUUGCGAAGGCAGCUUACUAAACUGUGACUGACAUUGAUGCUCGAAAGUGUGGGUAUCAAACAGGAUUAGAUACCCCUGUAGUC